rnacentral:rRNA from 1 species
GACGGGGGGGGGCAAGUGUUCUUCGGAAUUACUGGGCGUAAAGCGUGCGCAGGCGGUUUUGUAAGUCUGUUGUGAAAUCCCCGGGCUCAACCUGGGAAUGGCAAUGGAGACUGCAAGGCUAGAGUUUGGCAGAGGGGGGUAGAAUUCCACGUGUAGCAGUGGAAAUGCGUAGAUAUGUGGAGGAACACCGAUGGCGAAGGCAGCCCCCUGGGUCAAAACUGACGCUCAUGCACGAAAGCGUGGGGAGCAAACAGG